CUUUGGGUCCGCCCGUUUCUCUAAUCAAGUUGUAACACUCGCUGCUGUGGUCCACAGCUUCAUUCCUUGAAGCCCGUGAGACACGAACGCUUCCAUUGAGAAAAACCUUCCAUCAGAAGAAGACUUCUCGUCUCAGUGGGACUGCUGAGUUGAAUGGUGCUUUUUUUUCUGAAGCUUUGGUAGUGUAACUGUAAGAGUCCUGGAAUUGGAAAAGCAAAUCCAGAAGUUGAGUUCCAUGACUUUUUUGCUGUUUGCCUUUGGUUAAGAGUGGACGUGAAUGGAUUCUAUUUCUUCAAGGAAAUAAAAAAAACUCAUUCACAAUUACUGUAAUUAUUACGUAUGGAACGGAGAAAGAAGAGAAAAGGAAUGUAAGAUGGUGAUAGGUUAAAAGGAUCACGGGCGUUGAAGGUAGAUGUCUUUGGGAUGUA
rnacentral:lncRNA from 1 species